rnacentral:rRNA from 1 species
CCUACGGGAGGCAGCAGUGGGGAAUUUUGGACAAUGGGCGAAAGCCUGAUCCAGCAAUGCCGCGUGCAGGAAGAAGGCCUUCGGGUUGUAAACUGCUUUUGUACGGAACGAAACGGUCUGCUUUAAUACAGUGGGCUAAUGACGGUACCGUAAGAAUAAGCACCGGCUAACUACGUGCCAGCAGCCGCGGUAAUACGUAGGGUGCGAGCGUUAAUCGGAAUUACUGGGCGUAAAGCGUGCGCAGGCGGUUAUAUAAGACAGUUGUGAAAUCCCCGGGCUCAACCUGGGAAUUGCAUCUGUGACUGUAUAGCUAGAGUACGGUAGAGGGGGAUGGAAUUCCGCGUGUAGCAGUGAAAUGCGUAGAUAUGCGGAGGAACACCGAUGGCGAAGGCAAUCCCCUGGACCUGUACUGACGCUCAUGCACGAAAGCGUGGGGAGCAAACAGGAUUAGAUACCCUGGUAGUCCACGCCCUAAACGAUGUCAACUGGUUGUUGGGUGCAUUAGUACUCAGUAACGAAGCUAACGCGUGAAGUUGAACCGCCUGGGGAGUACGGCCGCAAGGUUGAAACUCAAAUGAAUUGACGGCUGAGACGNGCGAGCGACGACGAGGGAGGAGG